rnacentral:rRNA from 1 species
GAUGAACGCUGGCGGCGUGCCUAAUACAUGCAAGUCGAGCGAACGGACGAGAAGCUUGCUUCUCUGAUGUUAGCGGCGGACGGGUGAGUAACACGUGGAUAACCUACCUAUAAGACUGGGAUAACUUGGGGAAACCGGAGCUAAUACCGGAUAAUAUUUUGAACCGCAUGGUUCAAUAGUGAAAGACGGUCUUGCUGUCACUUAUAGAUGGAUCCGCGCUGCAUUAGCUAGUUGGUAAGGUAACGGCUUACCAAGGCAACGAUGCAUAGCCGACCUGAGAGGGUGAUCGGCCACACUGGAACUGGGAAACGCCCCAGACUCCUACGGGAGGCAGCAGGAGGGAAUCUUCCGCAAGGGGCGAAAGCCUGACGGAGCAACGCCGCGUGAGUGAUGAAGGUCUUCGGAUCGUAAAACUCUGUUAGUAGGGAAGAACAUAUGUGUAAGUAACUGUGCACAUCGUGACGGUACCUAAUCAGAAAGCCACGGCUAACUACGUG